rnacentral:rRNA from 1 species
GACAGAGGGUGCAAACGUUGUUCGGAAUUACUGGGCGUAAAGCGCGUGUAGGCGGCCCUGUAAGUCGGGUGUGAAAUCCCACGGCUCAACCGUGGAAGUGCAUUCGAAACUACAGGGCUAGAGUUCUGGAGAGGAAGGUGGAAUGCUUGGUGUAGAGGUGAAAUUCGUAGAUAUCAAGCGGAACACCGGUGGCGAAGGCGGCCUUCUGGACAGUAACUGACGCUGAGACGCGAAAGCGUGGGGAGCAAACGGG